rnacentral:other from 1 species
CAUCCUCUGCGGUGCCCGUUAGCGACCGGGGAUUAUUCUUGAGCCUAGAUUUCCACCCCGGGAGCGGCUCGAUGUCGAUCCGUGUGCAUGUCCGCCGGGAGCGGAAAGCCUGACGAUCCCAUCGCCGCACCCACCUGAACCUCCGGUUCAAGGGCGAAGGUCGCGACGGCUCAGGUGGAGGAUGC